rnacentral:rRNA from 1 species
UACGGGGGGAGCAAGCGUUGUUCGGAUUUACUGGGCGUAAAGGGCGCGUAGGCGGCCAUGACAAGUCACUUGUGAAAUCUCCGAGCUUAACUCGGAAAGGUCAACUGAUACUGUGCGGCUAGAGUGCGGAAGGGGCAACUGGAAUUCUUGGUGUAGCGGUGAAAUGCGUAGAUAUCAAGAGGAACACCUGCGGCGAAGGCGGGUUGCUGGGCCGACACUGACGCUGAGGCGCGAAAGCCAGGGGAGCGAACGGG